UUUAACUCAAACAAGGAUUAAGCUGCCAGAACUGACAGGUUUCCUUCAGCAUCCUGAAAUAAAAAAUAGUCAAGAUGUCCAAUGAAGAGGAUGAGAGCUGCAGCAGCAGCAGCAGCUGCGACCUGUCAGAUAACGAGGAGAUGGACGGCCAACUUGAGGGUUCGGGGGCCAAGAGUGAGAGCAGCUUGCUGGCGGGGGCGGGGCAGAGCACGUCGGGGAAGCGGCGGAGCAGCAGCGCCAUG
rnacentral:lncRNA from 1 species